rnacentral:rRNA from 1 species
CUGGCUCAGAUUGAACGCUGGCGGCAGGCUUAACACAUGCAAGUCGAGCGGCAGCACGGGGAGCUUGCUCCCUGGUGGCGAGCGGCGGACGGGUGAGUAAUGCAUAGGAAUCUGCCCGGUAGUGGGGGAUAACGUGGGGAAACCCACGCUAAUACCGCAUACGUCCUACGGGAGAAAGCGGAGGAUCUUCGGACUUCGCGCUAUCGGAUGAGCCUAUGUCGGAUUAGCUGGUUGGUAAGGUAACGGCUUACCAAGGCGACGAUCCGUAGCUGGUCUGAGAGGAUGAUCAGCCACACUGGGACUGAGACACGGCCCAGACUCCUACGGGAGGCAGCAGUGGGGAAUAUUGGACAAUGGGCGAAAGCCUGAUCCAGCCAUGCCGCGUGUGUGAAGAAGGCUUUCGGGUUGUAAAGCACUUUCAGCGAGGAAGAAAGCCUUUGGGUUAAUACCCCAGAGGAAGGACAUCACUCGCAGAAGAAGCACCGGCUAACUCCGUGCCAGCAGCCGCGGUAAUACGGAGGGUGCGAGCGUUAAUCGGAAUUACUGGGCGUAAAGCGCGCGUAGGUGGCUUGGCACGCCGGUUGUGAAAGCCCCGGGCUCAACCUGGGAACGGCAUCCGGAACGGCCAGGCUAGAGUGCAGGAGAGGAAGGUAGAAUUCCCGGUGUAGCGGUGAAAUGCGUAGAGAUCGGGAGGAAUACCAGUGGCGAAGGCGGCCUUCUGGCCUGACACUGACACUGAGGUGCGAAAGCGUGGGUAGCAAACAGGAUUAGAUACCCUGGUAGUCCACGCCGUAAACGAUGUCGACUAGCCGUUGGGACCUUUAAGGACUUAGUGGCGCAGUUAACGCGAUAAGUCGACCGCCUGGGGAGUACGGCCGCAAGGUUAAAACUCAAAUGAAUUGACGGGGGCCCGCACAAGCGGUGGAGCAUGUGGUUUAAUUCGAUGCAACGCGAAGAACCUUACCUACCCUUGACAUCCUGCGAACCCGGAAGAGAUUCCGGGGUGCCUUCGGGAACGCAGUGACAGGUGCUGCAUGGCUGUC